rnacentral:sRNA from 1 species
GUCGGGCAUGGUGGUGCAUGCCUGUAAUCCCAGCAGCUCAGGAGGCUGAGGCAGGAGGAUUUUAGUUCAAAGCCAGCCUCGGCAACUUAGCAAGGCCCUAAGCAACUCAGGGAGACCCUGUCUCUA